ACCUGGUUGGCUCAGUCGGUAGAGCAUGUGACUCUUGAUCUCAGGGUCAUGAGUUCAAGCCCCACGUUAGAUA
rnacentral:tRNA from 1 species